GGAAUUGAAAAUGUAGUUCUCUGGGAAAAAAAAAUUAAAAGACUAAGCAAAAAUAUUUCACUAUGUUACUGUCUUUCCCAGGAUUUUCAAAAGGGCAUUUGGAGUCCAGCUUCUUCAUGGAGAUGUCUCCCAGUAGUAAUAUCUUAUCAAUUUGAAGGAAGAACAAAGAGGGAGUUGCUUUUCUUUUAAAUGCAUGGACCUUACCGCGAUGAACUCUCAAUGCUGCAGGUUCUGAGGAUCAGGACUCUGGUAGUGGCCAGAGGGGUGGUUCUGGCUUGAGUGUCCCAUAAGAUUGCAGUCAAGAUAUCCACAGGGGCUGCCGUCAUUUGAAGCUUCAGCUGGGGGUGUGGAGGGUCCACAUCCAAGAUGCUCAGCCCCAUGCUGUUGGCUGGAGACCCCAGUUCCUCACUGUGGGAUGUUUCCAUUCCCAGUCAGUGGGCCUCUCCCAGGAGCUGCUUGCAACAUGGUAGCAAGGUUCUUCCAGAGCCAGUGAUUCAAGACAGAGCAAGGAGAAAGGCACUUGUCUUUUCUGAAUUACUCUCCGAAGCUGAAUACCAUCACACUGGCCACAUCCCAUUUGUUAGCGUUCCUAAAUUCAGCCCACAUUUAAGGGGAGGGGAAUGAGGUUCCUUUUUUUUUUCUUUUUCUUUUUAGGGCCACAUCUGCAACCUACGCCACAGCUUGU